rnacentral:piRNA from 1 species
UGUUGAGUGCACAAGAAAUAUCGCCGG